rnacentral:rRNA from 1 species
UGGGGAAUCUUCCGCAAUGGACGAAAGUCUGACGGAGCAACGCCGCGUGAGUGAAGAAGGUUUUCGGAUCGUAAAACUCUGUCUUUUGGGGCGAACGUGAGUAUGGUGAACAAUCAUAGUCAGUGACGGUACCAAAGGAGGAAGCCACGGCUAACUACGUGCCAGCAGCCGCGGUAAUACGUAGGUGGCAAGCGUUGUCCGGAAUUAUUGGGCGUAAAGAGCGCGUAGGCGGGAUAGUCAGUCUGUUGUAAAGUGCGGGGCUCAACCCCGUGAUGGCAAUGGAAACAGCUAUUCUUGAGUGCAGGAGAGGAAAGUGGAAUUCCCAGUGUAGCGGUGAAAUGCGUAGAUAUUGGGAGGAACACCAGUGGCGAAGGCGACUUUCUGGACUGUGUCUGACGCUGAGGCGCGAAAGCCAGGGGAGCGAACGGGAUUAGAUACCCCGGUAGUCCUGGCCGUAAACGAUGGGUACUAGGUGUGGGAGGUAUCGACCCCUUCCGUGCCGGAGUUAACGCAAUAAGUACCCCCGCCUGGGGGGAGUACGGUCGCAAGACUGAAACUUAAAUGAAUUGACGGGGUCAUAGCUG